rnacentral:rRNA from 1 species
GAUGAACGCUAGCGGCAGGCUUAAUACAUGCAAGUCGUGGGGCAGCAUGAGUAGCAAUACUUGAUGGCGACCGGCAAACGGGUGCGGAACACGUACACAACCUUCCGAUAAGUGGGGAAUAGCCCAGAGAAAUUUGGAUUAAUACCCCGUAACAUAUAGAGUAGGCAUCUUCUUUAUAUUAUAGCUUCGGCGCUUAUUGAUGGGUGUGCGUCUGAUUAGGUAGUUGGCGGGGUAACGGCCCACCAAGCCUACGAUCAGUAGCUGAUGUGAGAGCAUGAUCAGCCACACGGGCACUGAGACACGGGCCCGGCUCCUACGGGAGGCAGCAGUAAGGAAUAUUGGACAAUGGGCGAAAGCCUGAUCCAGCCAUGCCGCGUGAAGGAUCAAGGUCCUCUGGAUUGUAAACUUCUUUUAUUUGGGACGAAAAAAGGGAAUUCUUUCCCACUUGACGGUACCAAGUGAAUAAGCACCGGCUAACUCCGUGCCAGCCGCCGCAGUAA